UGGUUGAACAAUAAAGAAAUAACAACAAUUAAAUAGCUGCGGUAACACUUGACCGUACAAAGGUAGCAUAAUAAAAAGCCUAUUAAUUAUAGGAUAGAAUGAAGGUAAAACGAGAUUCAAACUGUCUCAAGACCCUAAAAUACAAAAUAGAAUGUGUGUGCAAAUCCACACUAAAACGGCAAGACGAUAAGACCCUAAGAACUUUACUUAAAACUUAAAAAAUAAACAAUAAGUUGUAGGUUUCGUUGGGGCAACGAUCUUAAAAAAAGUAACUAAGAUUAAACAAUCUAAUCCAAAAAAAACCAUAAUUUUACAAAUAAAGAUAAGACCCAAUAACAAAUAAGUUAUUGCAAAAAGAUAAAAGUUCCUUAGGGAUAACAGCGUUAUAUCAUUUUUAAUAACACAAUACAAAUGAUGUUUGCGACCUCGAUGUUGAAUUAUAA
rnacentral:rRNA from 1 species